rnacentral:rRNA from 1 species
UGGAUCCAGACUUCCAUUCUGGCUCAGGACGAACGCUGGCGGCGUGCCUAACACAUGCAAGUCGAACGGACGAGAGGAAGCUUGCUUCCUCGAGUUAGUGGCGGACGGGUGAGUAACGCGUGAGUAACCUGCCUUUCAGAGGGGGAUAACGUUUGGAAACGAACGCUAAUACCGCAUGACACCACAGUGUCGCAUGACACCAUGGUCAAAGGAGCAAUCCGCUGAAAGAUGGACUCGCGUCUGAUUAGAUAGUUGGUGAGGUAACGGCUCACCAAGUCGACGAUCAGUAGCCGGACUGAGAGGUUGAACGGCCACAUUGGGACUGAGACACGGCCCAGACUCCUACGGGAGGCAGCAGUGAGGGAUAUUGCACAAUGGGCGAAAGCCUGAUGCAGCAACGCCGCGUGAGGGAUGACGGUUUUCGGAUUGUAAACCUCUGUCUUCGGUGACGAAUAAAUGACGGUAACCGGGGAGGAAGCCACGGCUAACUACGUGCCAGCAGCCGCGGUAAUACGUAGGUGGCGAGCGUUGUCCGGAAUUACUGGGUGUAAAGGGAGCGCAGGCGGGACAGCAAGUUGGAUGUGAAAUACCGGAGCUUAACUUCGGAGCUGCAUCCAAAACUGUUGUUCUUGAGUGGAGUAGAGGCAAGCGGAAUUCCGAGUGUAGCGGUGAAAUGCGUAGAUAUUCGGAGGAACACCAGUGGCGAAGGCGGCUUGCUGGGCUCUAACUGACGCUGAGGCUCGAAAGUGUGGGGAGCAAACAGGAUUAGAUACCCUGGUAGUCCACACUGUAAACGAUGAUUGCUAGGUGUGGGGGGUCUGACCCCUUCCGUGCCGGAGUUAACGCAAUAAGCAAUCCACCUGGGGAGUACGGCCGCAAGGUUGCAACUCAAAGGAAUUGACGGA